CAGUAGCCGCGGUAAUACGUAGGGUCCGAGCGUUGUCCGGAAUUAUUGGGCGUAAAGAGCUCGUAGGCGGUCUGUCGCGUCUGCCGUGAAAUCCUCAGGCUCAACCUGAGGCGUGCGGUGGGUACGGGCAGGCUAGAGUGCGGUAGGGGAGAAUGGAACUCCUGGUGUAGCGGUGGAAUGCGCAGAUAUCAGGAAGAACACCGAUGGCGAAGGCAGUUCUCUGGGCCGUAACUGACGCUGAGGAGCGAAAGCGUGGGGAGCGAACAGGAUUAGAUACCCCCGUAGUCCCUGUCUCUUAUAA
rnacentral:rRNA from 1 species